rnacentral:misc_RNA from 1 species
GCAAACUUGGUCAUUUAGAGGAAGUAAAAGUCGUAACAAGGUUUCCGUAGGUGAACCUGCGGAAGGAUCAUUAACGAAAUUUCUGACUGAGGUUGUAGCUGGCCCUUUUCGGGGGGCACGUGCACGCCUCUUUCAUUAAUCCACACACACCUCUGUGCACCUUUGCGUGGGUCUUCUUGGGAGCGAGGGAGAGAUCCCUUUAGUACCGGGUCGGCCUGCGUCUUUUUUUACAUACCCUCUUGCAUGUUUCGGAAUGUAUACCUCGAUGUCAAUAACGCAUAUAAAUACAACUUUCAACAACGGAUCUCUUGGCUCUCGCAUCGAUGAAGAACGCAGC